rfam:Camelus ferus unplaced genomic scaffold scaffold1322, whole genome shotgun sequence.
GAAGGUAUGGCUCAGUGGCAGAGUGUGUGCCUAGCAUGCAGGAGGUCCUGGGCUCAAUCCCCAGUACCUCCA